rnacentral:rRNA from 1 species
GACGAACGCUGGCGGCGUGCUUAACACAUGCAAGUCGAACGGAAAGGCCCUGCUUUUGUGGGGUGCUCGAGUGGCGAACGGGUGAGUAACACGUGAGUAACCUGCCCUUGACUUUGGGAUAACUUCAGGAAACUGGGGCUAAUACCGGAUAGGAGCUCCUGCUGCAUGGUGGGGGUUGGAAAGUUUCGGCGGUUGGGGAUGGACUCGCGGCUUAUCAGCUUGUUGGUGGGGUAGUGGCUUACCAAGGCUUUGACGGGUAGCCGGCAUGAGAGGGUGACCGGCCACAUUGGGACUGAGAUACGGCCCAGACUCCUACGGGAGGCAGCAGUGGGGAAUAUUGCACAAUGGGCGGAAGCCUGAUGCAGCGACGCCGCGUGCGGGAUGACGGCCUUCGGGUUGUAAACCGCUUUCGCCUAUGACGAAGCGUGAGUGACGGUAAUGGGUAAAGAAGCACCGGCUAACUACGUG